CAAACUCUCUCUCUCUCUCGCACAGCAAAGCCGAGCGUUUUCCAUCUGAUAACGUCCGUCAUUGAGUCUCUGCGCAUGAUGUAAUUUCAUCAGGUUAAGAGAGGAAACUCACAGGACGGGGAUAAUGACUGUUCCUGUUAAUUGUGGUUUGGUGAAGACACAAGGCCUGUAGCUUCACUGUGAUCUACAGUACCAACAUCUCACUUCAGUCAUGAGUGAGCAGCAGGAAACUUUUGAAAGAUGUCAGGCUUUCCUACCAAAUUGGGACAAAGUGAUUGAAGAGGAGGGGUUGAAAAAG